UACGUAGGGUCCGAGCGUUGUCCGGAAUUACUGGGCGUAAAGCGCGCGCAGGCGGCCCGCGAGGUGUCACGUGAAAGCCCCGGGCUCAACCCGGGAGGGUCGUGGCAAACCGGCGGGCUUGAGGCCGGUAGAGGUGGGUGGAACUCCUGGUGGAGUGGUGAAAUGCGUAGAGAUCAGGAAGAACACCCGUGGCGAAGGCGGCCCACUGGGCCGGUACUGACGCUGAGGUGCGAAAGCGUGGGGAGCAAACAGG
rnacentral:rRNA from 1 species